AUAAAGUUGAAAUUUUAUACCAUGGCUUUUUCCAUUCAUCGGUCAUUUUUUUAUUUUAUUUUGUGCAUUGCUUUGAUUUUUCCUUCAGGUAACAAAAAAAAUGCCGUGGAGUUUCAUUUUUGAUACAAAAUAUAUUAUCAUCUCUAACAUGAAAAUAAUAUGAUCUGUUCUGCAGGAUUUGUAACUGGGGAAAAUGAAGGAUACAGAUGCAUAAGGUACUGCGACGAUGAAAGUAACUGUAGUAAAUAUUGUGGUUUUGAUGGCUAUCAAAAAGGUGGCAAGUGUAUGACGCUCACUCCAGGAAUGCAAUAUUGGUGUUGUUGUUAUACGUAGACAUCAAAGAAUGUUUGAACUCCGAUAGAGUUUUUGAGUUUGUGGGAAUAUUGUGUAAGAUUAUGAAAUCAUUUAAAUUUGUUGAUGAUUUUAUAUAAAUAAUAAUAAUAAUAAGAGAUUGGAUGUA
rnacentral:lncRNA from 1 species